AUUGAACGCUGGCGGCAGGCCUAACACAUGCAAGUCGAACGAGUGGCGGACGGGUGAGUAAUGUCUGGGAAACUGCCUGAUGGCGGGGGAUAACUACUGGAAACGGUAGCUAAUACCGCAUACCAUCGGAUGUGCCCAGAUGGGCUUAGCUAGUAGGUGGGGGAAAGGCUCACCUAGGCGACGAUCCCUAGCUGGUCUGAGAGGAUGACCAGCCACAUUGGAACUGAGACACGGGCCAGAAUCCUACGGGAGGCAGCAGUGGGGAAUAUUGAACAAUGGGUGAAAGCCGGAUGCAGCCAUGCCGCGUGUAUGAAGAAGGCCUGCUGGUUGUAAAGGACUUUCAGCGGGGAGGCGUUACCCGCAGAAGAAGCACCGGCUAAAUACGUGCCAGCAGCCGCGGUAAUAC
rnacentral:rRNA from 1 species